ACCACCCGCGCGGGAGAGAUCGCCCAGCAGUAUCCGGGCGGCGCCGAAGGGGCAGAUUCUCCCCGGAACCUCUCAGGCAGAAGGACCGCGACGGGCAG
rnacentral:ncRNA from 1 species